rnacentral:rRNA from 1 species
AACGAACGUGGGCGGCGUGGAUUAGGCAUGCAAGUCGAACGAGAACUGUAGCAAUACGGGGAAAGUGGCGAAAGGGGCAGUAAGGCAUGGGUAAUCUACCCUGGGGACGUGGAUAGCCAUUCUAACGAGUGGGUAAUACACGGCGAUUCGGCGGAGGGGCAUCCCUUUGCCGGGAAAUGAAUUUCGCCUCGGGAGGAGCUCAUGUGAUAUUAGCUUGUUGGUGAGGUAACGGCUCACCAAGGCUCAGAUGUCUAGCGGGUGUGAGAGCACGACCCGCGCCACUGGCACUGAGACACUGGCCAGACACCUACGGGUGGCUGCAGUCGAGGAUCUUCGGCAAUGGGCGCAAGCCUGACCGAGCGACGCCGCGUGUGUGACGAAGGCCUUCGGGUUGUAAAGCACUGUCGAGGGGGAGGAAGCCGAAAGGUUGACCUAUCCCUGGAGGAAGCACGGGCUAAGUUCGUGCCAGCAGCCGCGGUAAGACGAACCGUGCGAACGUUGUUCGGAAUCACUGGGCUUAAAGGGUGCGUAGGCGGGCCGCAAAGUCAGGGGUGAAAGCCUCCAGCUUAACUGGAGAAGUGCCUUUGAUACUGGCG